rnacentral:rRNA from 1 species
UGUGGUGGCGAUAGCAAGAAGGAUACACCUGUUCCCAUGCCGAACACAGAAGUUAAGCUUCUUCACGCCAGGGUUAGUCGGGAUCUAAGGCGAGGCCGAGA